rnacentral:rRNA from 1 species
AGAACGAACGCUGGCGGCAUGCCUAAUACAUGCAAGUCGAACGAACACUUCGGUGUUAGUGGCGCACGGGUGCGUAACGCGUGGGAAUCUGCCCUUGGGUUCGGAAUAACAGUUGGAAACGACUGCUAAUACCGGAUGAUAUCGAAAGAUCAAAGAUUUAUCGCCCAGGGAUGAGCCCGCGUAGGAUUAGCUAGUUGGUGAGGUAAAGGCUCACCAAGGCGACGAUCCUUAGCUGGUCUGAGAGGAUGAUCAGCCACACUGGAACUGAGACACGGUCCAGACUCCUACGGGAGGCAGCAGUGGGGAAUAUUGGACAAUGGGCGCAAGCCUGGUCCAGCCAUACCGCGUGGGUGAAGAAGGCCUUCGGUUGUAAAGCCCUUUGUUGGGAAAGAAAGCAUUCGGUUAAUACCCGGUGUUCUGACGGUACCAAAGAAUAAGCACCGGCUAACUUCGUGCCAGCAGCCGCGGU